rnacentral:rRNA from 1 species
CCUACGGGGGGCAGCAGUGAGGAAUAUUGGUCAAUGGACGAGAGUCUGAACCAGCCAAGUAGCGUGAAGGAUGACUGCCCUAUGGGUUGUAAACUUCUUUUAUAAAGGAAUAAAACGAGGCACGUGUGCCUUUUUGCAUGUACUUUAUGAAUAAGGAUCGGCUAACUCCGUGCCAGCAGCCGCGGUAAUACGGAGGAUCCGAGCGUUAUCCGGAUUUAUUGGGUUUAAAGGGAGCGUAGAUGGGUUGUUAAGUCAGUUGUGAAAGUUUGCGGCUCAACCGUAAAAUUGCAAUUGAUACUGGCAGUCGUGAGUACAGUUGAGGUAGGCGGAAUGCGUGGUGUAGCGGUGAAAUGCUUAGAUAUCACGAAGAACCCCGAUUGCGAAGGCAGCUUACUAAGCUGUGACUGACAUUGAUGCUCGAAAGUGUGGGUAUCAAACAGGAUUAGAUACCCCGGUAGUC